GACGAACGCUGGCGGCGUGCUUAACACAUGCAAGUCGAACGGGGAAUUCUGCUUCGGUGGAAUUCCUAGUGGCGAACGGGUGAGUAACGCGUAGGCAACCUGCCCUUCAGACGGGGACAACAUCCCGAAAGGGGUGCUAAUACCGGAUACGAAGCUCCUGCCGCAUGACGGGAGCUUGAAAGGCGCAAACAAGCGCCGCUGAGGGAUGGGCCUGCGUCCGAUUAGCUUGUUGGUGGGGUAACGGCCCACCAAGGCGACGAUCGGUAGCCGGUCUGAGAGGAUGAACGGCCACAUUGGGACUGAGACACGGCCCAGACUCCUACGGGAGGCAGCAGUGGGGAAUCUUCCGCAAUGGGCGAAAGCCUGACGGAGCAACGCCGCGUGAGUGAUGAAGUUCUUCGGAACGUAAAACUCUGUUGUUCACGACGAACGGGGGGACCAGGAAAUGGGUUUCCAGUGACGGUAGUGAACGAGGAAGCCACGGCUAACUACGUG
rnacentral:rRNA from 1 species